UGUGUGUUAGUGGAAGCGUCUGGAAAGGCGCGCGAUACAGGGUGACAGCCCCGUACACAAAAAUGCACAUGCUGUGAGCUCGAUGAGUAGGGCGGGACACGUGGUAUCCUGUCUGAAUAUGGGGGGACCAUCCUCCAAGGCUAAAUACUCCUGACUGACCGAUAGUGAACCAGUACCGUGAGGGAAAGGCGAAAAGAACCCCGGCGAGGGGAGUGAAAAAGAACCUGAAACCGUGUACGUACAAGCAGUGGGAGCACGCUUAGGCGUGUGACUGCGUACCUUUUGUAUAAUGGGUCAGCGACUUAUAUUCUGUAGCAAGGUUAACCGAAUAGGGGAGCCGAAGGGAAACCGAGUCUUAACUGGGCGUUAAGUUGCAGGGUAUAGACCCGAAACCCGGUGAUCUAGCCAUGGGCAGGUUGAAGGUUGGGUAACACUAACUGGAGGACCGAACCGACUAAUGUUGAAAAAUUAGCGGAUGACUUGUGGCUGGGGGUGAAAGGCCAAUCAAACCGGGAGAUAGCUGGUUCUCCCCGAAAGCUAUUUAGGUAGCGCCUCGUGAAUUCAUCUCCGGGGGUAGAGCACUGUUUCGGCAAGGGGGUCAUCCCGACUUACCAACCCGAUGCAAACUGCGAAUACCGGAGAAUGUUAUCACGGGAGACACACGGCGGGUGCUAACGUCCGUCGUGAAGAGGGAAACAACCCAGACCGCCAGCUAAGGUCCCAAAGUCAUGGUUAAGUGGGAAACGAUGUGGGAAGGCCCAGACAGCCAGGAUGUUGGCUUAGAAGCAGCCAUCAUUUAAAGAAAGCGUAAUAGCUCACUGGUCGAGUCGGCCUGCGCGGAAGAUGUAACGGGGCUAAACCAUGCACCGAAGCUGCGGCAGCGACGCUGAUGCGUUGUUGGGUAGGGGAGCGUUCUGUAAGCCUGUGAAGGUGUGCUGUGAGGCAUGCUGGAGGUAUCAGAAGUGCGAAUGCUGACAUAAGUAACGAUAAAGCGGGUGAAAAGCCCGCUCGCCGGAAGACCAAGGGUUCCUGUCCAACGUUAAUCGGGGCAGGGUGAGUCGACCCCUAAGGCGAGGCCGAAAGGCGUAGUCGAUGGGAAACAGGUUAAUAUUCCUGUACUUGGUGUUACUGCGAAGGGGGGACGGAGAAGGCUAUGUUGGCCGGGCGACGGUUGUCCCGGUUUAAGCGUGUAGGCUGGUUUUCCAGGCAAAUCCGGAAAACUAAGGCUGAGGCGUGAUGACGAGGCACUACGGUGCUGAAGCAACAAAUGCCCUGCUUCCAGGAAAAGCCUCUAAGCAUCAGGUAACAUCAAAUCGUACCCCAAACCGACACAGGUGGUCAGGUAGAGAAUACCAAGGCGCUUGAGAGAACUCGGGUGAAGGAACUAGGCAAAAUGGUGCCGUAACUUCGGGAGAAGGCACGCUGAUAUGUAGGUGAAGUCCCUCGCGGAUGGAGCUGAAAUCAGUCGAAGAUACCAGCUGGCUGCAACUGUUUAUUAAAAACACAGCACUGUGCAAACACGAAAGUGGACGUAUACGGUGUGACGCCUGCCCGGUGCCGGAAGGUUAAUUGAUGGGGUCAGCGCAAGCGAAGCUCUUGAUCGAAGCCCCGGUAAACGGCGGCCGUAACUAUAACGGUCCUAAGGUAGCGAAAUUCCUUGUCGGGUAAGUUCCGACCUGCACGAAUGGCGUAAUGAUGGCCAGGCUGUCUCCACCCGAGACUCAGUGAAAUUGAACUCGCUGUGAAGAUGCAGUGUACCCGCGGCAAGACGGAAAGACCCCGUGAACCUUUACUAUAGCUUGACACUGAACAUUGAGCCUUGAUGUGUAGGAUAGGUGGGAGGCUUUGAAGUGUGGACGCCAGUCUGCAUGGAGCCGACCUUGAAAUACCACCCUUUAAUGUUUGAUGUUCUAACGUUGACCCGUAAUCCGGGUUGCGGACAGUGUCUGGUGGGUAGUUUGACUGGGGCGGUCUCCUCCUAAAGAGUAACGGAGGAGCACGAAGGUUGGCUAAUCCUGGUCGGACAUCAGGAGGUUAGUGCAAUGGCAUAAGCCAGCUUGACUGCGAGCGUGACGGCGCGAGCAGGUGCGAAAGCAGGUCAUAGUGAUCCGGUGGUUCUGAAUGGAAGGGCCAUCGCUCAACGGAUAAAAGGUACUCCGGGGAUAACAGGCUGAUACCGCCCAAGAGUUCAUAUCGACGGCGGUGUUUGGCACCUCGAUGUCGGCUCAUCACAUCCUGGGGCUGAAGUAGGUCCCAAGGGUAUGGCUGUUCGCCAUUUAAAGUGGUACGCGAGCUGGGUUUAGAACGUCGUGAGACAGUUCGGUCCCUAUCUGCCGUGGGCGCUGGAGAACUGAGGGGGGCUGCUCCUAGUACGAGAGGACCGGAGUGGACGCAUCACUGGUGUUCGGGUUGUCAUGCCAAUGGCACUGCCCGGUAGCUAAAUGCGGAAGAGAUAAGUGCUGAAAGCAUCUAAGCACGAAACUUGCCCCGAGAUGAGUUCUCCCUGACUCCUUGAGAGUCCUGAAGGAACGUUGAAGACGACGACGUUGAUAGGCCGGGUGUGUAAGCGCAGCGAUGCGUUGAGCUAACCGGUACUAAUGAACCGUGAGGCUUAACCUUACAACGCCGAAGCUGUU
rnacentral:rRNA from 1 species